rnacentral:rRNA from 1 species
AGCGAACGCUGGCGGCAGGCCUAACACAUGCAAGUCGAACGAAGUCUUCGGACUUAGUGGCGGACGGGUGAGUAACACGUGGGAACGUGCCUUUAGGUUCGGAACAACUCAGGGAAACUUGAGCUAAUACCGGAUGAGCCCUUAGGGGGAAAGAUUUAUCGCCGAAAGAGCGGCCCGCGUUAGAUUAGCUAGUUGGUGAGGUAAAGGCUCACCAAGGCUACGAUCUAUAGCUGGUCUGAGAGGAUGAUCAGCCACACUGGGACUGAGACACGGCCCAGACUCCUACGGGAGGCAGCAGUGGGGAAUCUUGCGCAAUGGGCGAAAGCCUGACGCAGCCAUGCCGCGUGAAUGAUGAAGGUCUUAGGAUUGUAAAAUUCUUUUACCAGGGACGAUAAUGACGGUACCUGGAGAAAAAGCCCCGGCUAACUUCGUGCCAGCCGCCGCCGUAAGAC